rnacentral:rRNA from 1 species
UCAAGAAACUUCCACAAUGGGCGAAAGCCUGAUGGAGCGACGUCGCGUGAUGGACGAAGUGCUUCGGCACGUAAACAUCUUUUAUGUGGGAUGAAAUUAUUGACAGUACCACAUGAAUAAGGGGCUCCUAACUCUGUGCCAGCAGGAGCGGUAAUACAGAGGCCCCAAGCGUUAUCCGGAAUCACUGGGCGUAAAGGGUGUCGAGGCGGUUGUAUUAGUCGUUCGUAAAAUCUACGAGCUUAACUUGUAGGCGGCGAACGAAACGGUACGACUUGAGGUUUGGAGAGGUGCGUGGAACUCACGGUGUAGGGGUGAAAUCCGUUGAUAUCGUGGGGAACACCAAAGGCGAAGGCAAUGCACUGGUACGUUCCUGACGCUCACACACGAAAGCGUGGGGAGCAAACAGGAUUAGAUACCCAAGUAGUCCCUGAGCGGGCUGGCAAGGCGCAU